UACGUAGGGGGCAAGCGUUGUCCGGAUUUAUUGGGCGUAAAGAGCGUGUAGGCGGCUUGGUAGGUCCGCUGUGAAAACUCGAGGCUCAACCUCGAGACGUCGGUUGAAACCAUCUGGCUAGAGUCCGGAAGAGGAGAGUGGAAUUCCCGGUGUAGCGGUGAAAUGCGCAGAUAUCGGGAAGAACACCCGUGGCGAAGGCGGCUCUCUGGGACGGUACUGACGCUGAGGAGCGAAAGCGUGGGGAGCGAACAGG
rnacentral:rRNA from 1 species